rnacentral:rRNA from 1 species
UACAGAGGUCUCAAGCGUUGUUCGGAUUCAUUGGGCGUAAAGGGUGCGUAGGUGGCGCGGUAAGUCGGGUGUGAAAUCUCGGAGCUUAACUCCGAAAUUGCAUUCGAUACUGCGGUGCUUGAGGACUGGAGAGGAGACUGGAAUUCAUGGUGUAGCAGUGAAAUGCGUAGAGAUCAUGAGGAAGACCAGUGGCGAAGGCGGGUCUCUGGACAGUUCCUGACACUGAGACACGAAGGCCAGGGGAGCAAACGGGG